GACGAACGCUGGCGGCGUGCUUAACACAUGCAAGUCGAACGAUGAAGCUGGAGCUUGCUCCGGUGGAUUAGUGGCGAACGGGUGAGUAACACGUGAGCAAUCUGCCCCUGACUCUGGGAUAACUGCGGGAAACUGUAGCUAAUACCGGAUACUUUCACUGGAAGGCAUCUUCUGGUGAAGAAAGAAUUUCGGUCAAGGAUGAGCUCGCGGCCUAUCAGCUUGUUGGUGAGGUAACGGCUCACCAAGGCGACGACGGGUAGCCGGCCUGAGAGGGUGACCGGCCACACUGGGACUGAGACACGGCCCAGACUCCUACGGGAGGCAGCAGUGGGGAAUAUUGCACAAUGGGCGCAAGCCUGAUGCAGCAACGCCGCGUGAGGGAUGAAGGCCUUCGGGUUGUAAACCUCUUUUAGCAGGGAAGAGGCGAAAGUGACGGUACCUGCAGAAAAAGCACCGGCUAACUACGUGCCAGCAGCCGCCGUAA
rnacentral:rRNA from 1 species